UAGGGAAUCUUCGGCAAUGGACGAAAGUCUGACCGAGCAACGCCGCGUGAGUGAAGAAGGUUUUCGGAUCGUAAAACUCUGUUGUUAGAGAAGAACAAGGACGUUAGUAACUGAACGUCCCCUGACGGUAUCUAACCAGAAAGCCACGGCUAACUACGUGCCAGCAGCCGCGGUAAUACGUAGGUGGCAAGCGUUGUCCGGAUUUAUUGGGCGUAAAGCGAGCGCAGGCGGUUUCUUAAGUCUGAUGUGAAAGCCCCCGGCUCAACCAGGGAGGGUCAUUGGAAACUGGGAGACUUGAGUGCAGAAGAGGAGAGUGGAAUUCCAUGUGUAGCGGUGAAAUGCGUAGAUAUAUGGAGGAACACCAGUGGCGAAGGCGGCUCUCUGGUCUGUAACUGACGCUCAGGUGCGAAAGCGUGGGGAGCAAACAGG
rnacentral:rRNA from 1 species